AGAACAUCUUAGUCAGAUGGAAGACUCGCUAAAAGAGUCAAUUAUCCAAAUCCGUUUGCAAAAGGUAUACUUAUUGUACGCAGUGUUUGGUGUUAUGACUAGAUAUCACUCAUUUAAGCUAGCAUAUUGUAGAGACAUGACUGGAAUCUUGCAGAAAUUCAAGUCCGAGUCCACAUCUCAAUUUUACAUAUUCUGGUAGGACGAUUUUCACAACACUCUCCAAGCCCUAAAAAACUCUCCAUAUUACCUUCAGCUAGUUAUAAAUCCUUUACUCUUUCUCAUAACUUUAACCUGCCACCUCAUGUUUAUCCCGAUCAAUAUUGUAUAUUAUGUUCUAAAAUCAUAAAACAUAUAUAUAUCUUCAUCCAGAUAUCAUGCAUACCUUGUAAGCUUUUAUGACUGUAUUAUUUGUACCACUUAAUUGUCAAGAUUGAGUGGCAGAACUGCUAAUUGUUUUACCCAAGAUCCUGACAAGUAUUGAAAUAAUGCAUAGGUAUUAUAUUCUUACACUGGCUACUUCUCUUGGC
rnacentral:misc_RNA from 1 species